GAGUGAAGCGGCAACAGCUCAAAUUUGAAAUCUGGCCCCCCCGCGGGCCCGAGUUGUACUUUGGAGAGGACGCUUCUGGCGCGGCGCCGUCCGAGUUCCCUGGAACGGGACGCCGGAGAGGGUGAGAGCCCCGUACGGGCGGCCGCCUAGCCUCUGCGAAGCUCCUUCGACGAGUCGAGUAGUUUGGGAAUGCUGCUCAAAAUGGGAGGUAAAUUUCUUCUAAAGCUAAAUACCGGCCAGAGACCGAUAGCGCACAAGUAGAGUGAUCGAAAGAUGAAAAGCACUUUGAAAAGAGGGUCAAACAGUACGUGAAAUUGUUGAAAGGGAAGCGCCUGUGGCCAGACUUGCGCCCCGCGGACCACCCGGCGCCUCGCGCGCCGGGGCACGCCAGCGGGGCGCAGGCCAGCAUCGGCUCUCUCGGGGGGACAAAGGCCGCGGGAACGUAGCGCCCUCGCGGCGUAUUAUAGCCCGCGGCGCCAUGCCCCCGGGGGGGCCGAGGACCGCGCUCCGGCAAGGAUGCUGGCGUAAUGGCCACCGGCGACCCGUCUUGAAACACGGACCAAGGAGUCAAGCAUUGGGGCGAGUGUCUGGGUGGCAAGCCCGCACGCGGAAUGAAAGUGAACGCAGGUGGGAGCUUCGGCGCACCACCGACCGAUCCUGAUGUCCUCGGAUGGAUUUGAGUAGGAGCCCCGCCGCUUGGACCCGAAAGAUGGUGAACUAUGCCUGUAUAGGGUGAAGCCAGAGGAAACUCUGGUGGAGGCCCGCAGCGGUUCUGACGUGCAAAUCGAUCGUC
rnacentral:rRNA from 1 species